rnacentral:lncRNA from 1 species
UCUCAUCGGAGGAGCUCGGGGCCUUGCUGUUGCUGGGAAUGGCUGCUGUUUUCAUCAGGGGAGCUCUGAUCUUCACCAUGAGCAUCACAUCCUGGCUCCUAAAUUCACUAUGUAGCCCAGGCUGGCCUUGAACUCAGGAUGCUCCUCCUGCCUCAGCCUGAGUGCUGGGAUUACAGAGACAACUUGAAGCAGACAUCUCAAUUCUUCGAACCUCAGUUUGGACAUAAAUUCCAGGUUUGGUGAGUUUCUAUACUUGUUUCAGCUUUAUGGAUCUUGAAAACUGGGAAAUAGUAGAAUAAAGAGUCAAAUAACGUAGCUUCCAACUUUUAAAGAAAUCGUAGGCCUGAGGUCCCUUGUAGUCUAAUAAUGCCUUGUUAAGCAUAAACUCCUUCCUGGAAGCAUCUGGAAUAGGAGUGCCAGACAUCAGUGUGACCU